rnacentral:lncRNA from 1 species
GGAGAGUAAGGUGGCGAGUCCAAGCACCAAGUAGUGUUGUAGCUUUGAACUGCAACUGUUCUAUUUGUUCCAUGAGGGCUAGCAUUCAGUUCAUUGUCCCUUCUGAAAAGUUUGAGCUUCUAGGAGAUUCCAAAGAAUUUCUUACAACCUACACUUUUGGCACGCAUACAGCGAAGCACACAUUCUGUAAGUUCUGUGGCAUAACUUCAUUUUACGUUCCACGAGCAAAUCCAGAUGGGUUUUCAAUUACUUUAAGAUGUGUUGACCCUGGGACUCUCACUCAUGUUGAGAUUAAGAACUUUGAUGGGCAGAAUUGGGAAAGGUCAUACAAUCAGGCAUUUGCUUCAUCCUCUCAAGGUGCUGGCUGCUGAAGUGUCGUUCUUUCUACCACCACUCUCCUCGCCUUCCCUCCCUAAAGUAGUACAAUAUUAUGGAAAAACCUUUGUGAUAUCGCUCUUUGGAACAUUCUCAAAGUUGGAAAAUAAAAUUAGCAAUGUUAGCUAAUUGAUUGGUUAUACGUGUAGCUAAUUGAUUGGUUACUUGUGCUAUUGACUUUGUUCAUGUUUUAAUAAAGACUUUCUUCAUCCUUAAUGAGGUACAAGCCUGAGCGCUUACAAAUUUCAGAUUUGAAGGAAGUUCCCCGAGUGAUUGAAGCCUCUUGCAAUCAUCCAAAUAUAGAUAUUCAAGAUUGGAAAGUUCAUGGAUAGUUGCAGGUAGGCUAGUAAAGUUGUUGCCACUCACGUUUAAUACACUUAAUGAAGUUAAGCAGCUGAAAUCACCGGGAAUUGAUUCUUCCUGUAGAUUGCAGUUACUUAAAUCCAACGCUAUAAAAGAGCAUAAUCCUGAGAAUGAAUUCAAUGACAAACUCAAGGAAUUUGUCCUUUUUUCCCGAAACGAGGAUAAAAACAUCAUCCGUGUCUUAAGCAGCUGUCCUUUACAUCCACGAAGAGAUAGCUUUUUAAGCUUUCUGACGAGAGAGAAGGAAGAUGGUGGCUGUCUUCUAAUAGCAGUUCCACUUAUAUCAAGCUCCUCCAAACUUUCUGCAUGACCCAAUUCCUCCAGCCUAUAAAGUUUUCAACAUCCAGAUAAGUCGAAAGUUUCAAGGGCUUUUAAACCAUAUGCACUCUUAGGAAGACUUGCAAGCUUUUUGCUGUCAUUCAGGUUUAAUAAAACGAGGCUUUCGAGAACUCCAACUGAUUGGUCAAUCUCAUGCAAUUUUGUGUAACCUUAAAGAAUCAGCUUCUCAAGAUUUCGGACCUCUCUAAAAUCCGGUGUCUUACAAGAUCGAGGGAGUAACUGAGAUUGAUGAGUUUCAUCUUGUUAAAAUUCUGUUAAGAAGCCGAAGGAAACACUGAAAACCAGUUUCCAUGAACUUUUCCCUUUUUUUUGGUUUAACAAAUGAAACAUACGUAAGUGGUAAUCAUGCCUGCUCUCCCUUCCAUAGUUGUUCAACUUGGCUAUAACUCAAAUCCAUAAGUUCCUCUGGAUGAAAACUCAAUGGCAACGUUUUGAAAGGAUAUUCAUCCCAUUUGAGAAUCCGUAACUCAUUAGAAAGAUAUUGGAGGCUAUGUGUAACAGUGUCAAAUGUGCAUGGGAUGCACACUUCGGCAGGCUGUCCAAAACAGGGCCUAAGGGUGCUGGCAGCCAUGCCAACAGUGGGAAAAAUCGGCAGCGCAGAUUUAUGCGGCUGUAGGUUCGUCAAAGGAAAAUCGGCAGCGCAGAUUGCAUGAGCUUGACGAUGGAAUGUCCAAGUCAGGCAGGAAAACUCGUCAGGGGCAUAGGCUGACGAGAACAGGGGCUGUCGAGGGAUUCGGCAGCGAAGACAUUGGCAGCCUGCACGCAGAUGCGAAUUCGGCAGCGCGCAACAGCUUGUGCAAGUCAGGGGCUCGACUUGGCACGAUCAAAAAGUUGGACGAAGGACUGUCCAAGGCAUACGAAUGACUCAACGGCUGACGCAGCAAGAGCUGGCAGAUGGGGCUGCCAGGUGGGCAUGCAGAACGUGGGUUAGUGGCUGUUAUGGGCAUCCAAGAUCAUGGGAUCAUGGGACAUGUGCUGGAGAACGUGGGGGCAUGGCUGGAAGUGCUCUCAACCCACUAAGAUCAUGGGAGAUCAUGGGGAGAAAACUACCCACUACUUGGUAGAUAAUGGGGCCACUAUGUUCAUGGGUGAACAUGGGUGAGAUAGUGUCCCACUACUUCCUAAAAUGUAGGAAUGAAAGUUGUGCCUUGUAAAUGCUUGUCUAUAAAUAGUGGCUGCAGCUCUUGGUUAUGUAUGCAUGUAGAGCACAAGAUUAGAGAGAGUAGCUUGGUGUAGCAUGCAAUCUUUGUGCAUAGCACACAUACAGAUUUGUGUAAAGUUUUCUUUGUUUACGAGAUCAAUAAAGGUUGGGAAAGAGUUCCUAUAAAGCUUGUUGUGCACUUUGUUUAUCCUAUUCUUCUUGUGUAUUCCGCUUGUCUUCUAACUUGGGUGAGGGAAACACUUAGUUACUAGGCAAACACGAGUGGGAUUGGCGAGGGAAGGCUGAGUCUAGCGAGGGACUAGGCUGCCGCACGGGUAUAUUCGCGGAGCAAAAAAUUACCCCGUGACACUAUGGGAGAAGCGCGCAUUACGAAUAUGAGCAACAAUCUUAGUUUUGUCAUCUUCGAGAAUGAUAGAGCACUUAAUUGUGCCCCUGCUGGUCUUGGUAAGUAUAGGGAUAUGCCUUCAACAUCCUCUGUUCCCUGACAAAGAGGCAAAUUAGCACAAGGAAAAUUGAAGAAUCUAAAGAAAACCAAACACAGCUAUCCAGUUUGAAGAAAGAGUUUUUUCACAGGGUAUCAUACUGUAUUUUUUGUCAAGACAUGAUCAAUAUCCUUAUAAGGCCAUAGCCUCCUGCGUUUUCCUGGUUCCUCUGGAGAUUCUUGCCGAACAAGCUUCCAGCCCAUUUGUUGAAGCAAAUCGUGCAUCCAUAGAGUGUUGUUAUUUGAAACAGUUAUGAGAGAUUUAUCGAUGAGAACUCUUAUUCCAAUAUCCGGGUAGACACCACAGCUGUCCCCCAUUUUUGCUAUGUGAUCUCUGUCGUUUCCCUUAAAAAAACAUGCUAUAUCCAGGAAUAUUUUCUUUUCUGUUUCCUCGAGUCCAUCAAAACUUUUUUGAAGUGUAUCCAGAAUUUCUUUGUCAGGAUUUUCUUUCAUUCUAUCUAAUGCACUUUUCCAUUCUUUUAAAGUCUUGUCAAACAAAAGGAACCCAAUAUUUCAAGAGCUAAUGGAUGGCCAUUCGCAUGAUCUAUAACCAAAGUUGACGGUGUCAUAUACUCUUCUGGAGGAUGGUUAGUUUUGAAGGCUUUCAAACUAAAAAGCUGGAGUUUUUCAUCAUCAUUUAAUCCCCCAGACUUGUAUAUUUUAUCCACCCGAUGCCUGACAAGCACAUUUAUAUCCCUAGUUGUUAUGAUGAUUCUACUCCCUAAACCAAACCAAUCACGCUUUCCAGCCAAUUUUUCUAAUUGGUUCAAAUGGUCCGCAUCAUCCAUCAACAACUAUCAAAACACGUUGACGUCGCAUCCUAGUAUUCAUCAUCUCGGUUCCAUGAUACACAUUCCAUAUUUUCACAUUUUCUGCCUUAAGGAUUUCGCAAAGAACUUGUUCUUGUAAAGUUAGCAUGCCACCUUUUGAUGAAACUUCCCUAACAUUAGCUAGAAAGGUGCUACCCUCAAAUCGGGGUGACGUUCGAUUGUAGUAAGCUCGUGCAAGAGUUGUCUUUCCUAUUCCUCCCAUCCCACAAAUUCCUAUGAUGCGAACAUCAUUAGACCCUAGAUCCAUAUAAGAGCCCAGCUUAACCAAACGUCUAUUCAUUAUAGUAGAUGAUAAUACAGGGCUCAGUAUACUCAGUAUGCUUUGCACAAUAUCUUGUAUAAAGUUUGAUUCAUGCCUAUAAAGUGGAAGGAUGAAUAAGAAAGUUUCGAGUCGUAAUAAACUAUGAAGGAAAAAAAAUAAAUCAGUGUUCGCUGCAUAUUACAAUUAAAAAAAAUGGCAUAUGACAUCAUGUGUCAUACUUAGAAGAAGGGGAGGUCAUGUUAAUGCAGAAAAUAUAAGCGUGCAUCUCUUAGUGCAAAGAUUUAUACAGACAUGUACUAUUUAAAGGAUAGACAGAAGGGCUUAAACUUAUAAAAUUCUGGAAAUUUUUGCAGUAACUGAUAUCUGCCAAAGUUUGAGUCUUUCCCAGCUGAAAUUGUAGUUCUGAUAUUUGUGAUUGUUUGAAAAUGAUUUGGCUUUUAAGCAAACUCAGUGAAUUUUGUUACAGUUUCUUUUUUAGACAGAUGGCUAAAUAUAGAUAGAUAAACUGAAAGAGAAAGAGUUGCAUUCAACAUCUGCUUGUUUUUCAAAGUCAAUGACUGCUGGGCUGCUGGCCAUGUUGAAAAUGUUAUAUAUACUUUUGAAAAAUCAAAUGAAAAUUGUUGUUUAAAGUAUUUUUUAUUUUAAAAUAUAUUAAAGUAAUUUGUUUUAUUUUUAAAAUUUUAAUUUUGAUAUCAGUAUAAUAAAAAUAAAUAAUUUAUAAUAAAAAAAUUAAAAUUUUAUAAAAAAAUGUUAUAAUCGCAAAACAAACAAUCAUAUAGAUUAUAUUUUUUUAAAAAGACUUUAAAAAUAAAUGCAACCAGAAAAAAAUUAAGCAUGUAUAUCUUUGCCUUAAUUUUCCUUUUCUAAAUAUCGUUUAGUGACAAAAUUUACCAUGUAAAAUGCCCUCCAACUUUUAUUCUUUCUUUGUGCCCAUGCUUAUUUCAUUUUAAGUGAUUUUUAGAAUGUUUUUUUGAUAGAAAAACAUCUCAAAAUAAAAUUUAAUUGAUAUCUUUUCAACUCAAACAUGUAUUUGUUAUCAGUGAAAAUGGUGAGAAAUUCAAGGAAAGUGUAAUGCUUCUUUACCAUCAAAACUCAAAGCCAUGCUAUGAGUUCAGAACUUCAUCAGAUGUACUGAUUUAAAAUAUUGGCUUUCAUUGUUACAUGACUGAAGAUGAAAGUCUUUAGAAGUUCACAUUACUUGCAGGUCUAACUAGGUUGGUGCCUCUCAGACCUUUUAAAUAGAGAAAAAAUAAAGAGGGGAUAAAAACAAAAAUGACGAUCAUACCUUUAUCCCCUCCAAAGUCGUUCAACUUUGCUACAGCACGUAUCAAGUUUAAUAAGUUCCUCUGAAUGGACAAUGGCAAGUUCUUGAAAGGAUAUUCAUGCCAUUUGAGAAUCUGUGACUCAUUACAAAGCUAUUAAAGUCUACACACAUUAGGGAAUACUGAUGAUCUUAAUGUGCAUGUCCUGUUGCUGGUAAUUCUGGGUUUAUCUCUUCAAUAUCUUCUGUUCCCUAACAAUUAAACAUACAAUUCCAACAAGCUAAGAAUGCAAGGAAUGGUUUUAUGUGAUGUCUCUCAGUGUAUUUCAUGUCUAGGCAAGGCAGAUAUCCUUACAGAGCCAUAGCCUCGGAAAUCUCUUACGAUUUUCCUGGCUCCUUGGAAAUUCUUGUCGAGCAAGUUCUUAAAACAAAUCUUGCAUCGAUAAUCAGCUGUUUUCCUUAAAGUUGGUCGAGACAUUUACCAAUGAGAACUUGUCCCAAUAACUGGCAAGAAACCUCAGGUGACACACAUUUCUGUUGUAUUCAGCUUUGUGCUUUCCCUUAAAAAACAUGCAAUAUCUGUGAAAAUUUUCUUUCCAUACCCUCUAAUCCAUUAAAACUUGUUGACUUUUAUCCAAGAGUUCUUUUCCUGGAUUUUCUUUCAUUCUUGCUAGAGCGGGACUUAAACAUCCAUGAGUCAAUGAUAUAAGGAUUGAUUUGCAAGGAAUUUUAAUAUAGAGGUUAAAAUGAUUAACAUUUAGAACUUGGAGGAUCACAAAAGUAAUUUGCUUUAAAAAAGGUUGAUUGCAUGGAGCUGUCCUUUCUUUUCAUUGCAUUCCAAGAUUGUCAAUUAUGUUUGUUUUAUUUAGAAUGACUGAUAUAUCUCAUUUCAAUUUAAAAAAUAAAAUAAAUUAGAAUAAAUUUUAUUUUGUUCAAAAUCUUGUCCUGUUCUAGAAAUUUCGUUUAAAUUCCAGUUGAAGUGUUCUGGUUCUAUUCUGCAUGUUAUUUUCCUGUCAAAUAAUAUUUUUUUUGGUUUUUUAUUUUUUUAAAAAUGUUACAGUUUUAUGAUGUCAAUCAUAUUUACAACCCGGUAAUCAUCAAAUGAUGAAUGGAGUGAACUUUGCAUCUGCAGGAACUGGUGCCCUUGUGGAAACUCAUCAAGGAAAAGUACAUGAUCUUAUUGAUUAAGCCCUUCUUUUUGUGUGUGUUUUAGCUUAGGCUUCUUGUUCAUCACAGCUAAAUAGUCCGUAGAAUUUGCUUAUUGGUGCAAAUCCAGCAUUAUUAACUUGGUCUGCAUCUUAAUAUUGUUCUCAUUUGUUCCCAUUCAUUGAAAAGGUGAUAGACCUUAAAACACAAUUACGUUAUUUUAAGGAAGUGGAGAAGCUACCAAGGCAGAAAUUAAGCGAUGAAGUAGCUAAGACAUUGGUGUCCUCUGCUCUUUACUUGUUCAGCAUUGGAAGCAAUGACUACUUUGUACCUUUCAUUACAAACCCCACUGCGCUUCAAUCCUACAACAGAAACGAGUACAUCAGGAUGGUUAUCGGCAACCUGACAUCUGGUAUCCAAGUGAUAUGUUAAUAACCUAAACAUUCUUUCUGUUUUUCAAAUCGAUCAUAGUCUAUAUAUGGUUUCGCUUUACUGUUCCAGGAAAUAUAUAAGGAGGGAUGAAAUUUCAAUCUUGGCUGCAUCGUGCCGUUUUCCUUCCUGAGAGCACUUAAACGAACUAGAACAAGAAGUUCAGGCUGCAUGGAUGAAGUUGCAGUUCUGACAAAGCUACACAAUAGAGAACUCUCUAAGGUCCUUAAAAAGCUUGAGAGACAGUUUAAUGGAUUUAAGUAUUCAAAUUUUGAUUUCUAUACUUCACAUAGUGAAAGAAUAAAUCAUCCCACCAAAUAUGGUAUGUUUUUAUCUACAUGUCAAUUCAGAAUUUCCUGCUUGUGUUUCUCAAGUAACAAGUCUAUCCUAACUGUCAAGUUCAGGGUAUGACUUGUUUCUAAUCCUUCUAUACCUAUUUUAGGUUUUGAUUGUUGCAACUUGAAUGUGAAGAUUUUGAGAUAAAAGUGGCAUGUUGUGGCGCUAGUCCGUAGUGAGGUUCCAAGUGUGGUCUGAACAAGUUCGAAUUAUGCGAUAAUGCGAGUGAAUAUCUCUUCUUUGAUGGAAUUCAUCCAGCAGAUGAGGUUCAUAAUCAAUUUGCAAAGUUGUUGUGGAGUGGAAAUCCUGAUGUUGGAGGGCCUUACAGUGUCAAAACACUGUUUGAGGAAUAGCAUAAAUGAUAAAACAAGAUGUACUUUUUUCCAGAUGCUGUAUUAGUUAACCCAGAAGCCAAAGAAUACUUGCUUCUCUUUAUUCUAUCUUGACUUGGAAGAAAUGACAUUAGAGGUGAAAGCAGAGUUCUGUUCUUGAGUGGAACACUCACAGGAAUUAGAAAGAUCAUAUCUUGGUUUAGUAAUGCACUAAUUUACGAUGUAUCUGAUCAGCUCCUCAAAAUUCAAGAACCCUCUAAAAUCUAAAUCUGGUCCUUCUGAAAAGAUUCCGGGAGUGGCACAGACUUGAUAAUUUUCAACUUUAAAUUCCUGCUCAGAAUGAUAAGGAAAUACUUGACAUCUUAAAGCUUUCUGAAAGAAGAGAUGCUUAAAAUUCUGUUGGAUGUGUGGAAACAAUUGCUGGACCAGAAUGCCAUCAACACGGGUAUUUCUUCACGUACAAAAUUGCACUUAUCGAUUAUGACCUCUUUGAGAGCUCACAAGACCAACACCCUACCGGCAAGAAACUAAACAAUUGUAGUCCUUUAAGGUUUGGUUCAACUUCACAAGUUUGAAAUUAAUGAAUAAGUUCUUUACAACCUCACGCAGAGAAGCCAUCGGCAAUAGACUCUCUACGAGUAACAAAGGACCAAAGCCAACGACACCUAGAUUUAUCAGCAAAUAUGAGCAAUAAAGUAUGAUCUACCUGUGUCUCAUUCCACUGCAGAAAGUACUGCAGUCAGCUACAGACUGAUUAAAGACAUCAAAGGUAGCUGUAGAAGCUCUCUUGUAAUGAAGCAGCAAAUUGUUAAACCUUAAUUCUGAAGCAGCUUUACAAAAGUUAAAUCAAACAAUAUGUUCAAGAACUAGUGAUAUAGAAGUCUUAGUUCAAGGACUACUAGCAUUUUGACCCAUAGUUCAAGAGUGUUAUGUACCUUUUAGCCUUUAAUUUAUCAGCCUCGUUACAUUGUUGGUGUGGCCUUUCGUUUGUAUUUUUCUCAUGUUCUGUUGGUAUGCUCGACUGGAAAUGAAGCUGAACUUCUUCAUAUUCUUAGGCUUUGGAAAUCAGCCUCAACCUGUCCUCUUUUGAGUUUUGUUUUGGCUUUAGAUUUUGUCAGGCAUUGGUCUACUAAGCAAUGUUGUUGUCAUAAAAUGGUGAUUUGAAGUAUUUUGUAGGCUAGUCUUGAUAUGGCUACCUCUUGUAGUCUCAGGCCACUUAGAAGAUCUAUUGUAAUUUUCUCUGUAGUGUCAAUAUUAUCAAUGAUCCAAUAAAAAAGGGACAUGUCAAUAUUAUCAUUGAUCCAAAAACAAAAGGGACAUGUCAAUAUUAUCAAUUUAUCAAGGUUGGACAUUGGCAGCUUGGACUAAUCAUUGAUAUCCAUGUUAAGUAAAAGCACAGACGACCAAAGGAAUGGGAAGCGAUAGAAAUAUAUUGAAAACUUGAAUAAACAGAAAACAAAAACACCAAUGCUGAGUAGCCAUGGUGGGAUUUAUAUGCAUACAUAUAUUGAUGGAAAGUAGUGAACAUAUGUUGAUAUAUAACAUGCAUAUAGGGUUAAGGUCCCUGCAGCUUCACUGAGAAUCCAUUCAUUUCCAGGAUGAAUGAAGCAAAUUUCAUUAAUCAAAGAACCGAGUAGAAGAAAACUGAUCCCAAUAGCAGCAAUUUAUCAAGACUUUUUAGAAUUUUGGAGUAAAUUUGUAUUUUUUCAGCAAUUUAUCUUAGAUACGAGGCAGCUGUUAAAUUCCAAUUCUAUUGCCUUUCAAUCAAUUAUAUACAAACUGAUGCUUUAAGUCAAUGAUUUCAUACACAGUAGCAGAUUAAAAACACACACUGUACGUUCAUGUCCAUCUUCAAAAUCCUACUAUAAGAAUAGGUUACCGAGCCUCAACAAAUUUUGGGUGCUUCAGAACAUCAAAGCAUCACAGUGUUGGUAUGUCUGACUAAAUUCAAUCACAAAUAAUGAUACCCUAAACUCUCUAUCUCUUAACUUGAGAAACUCGGGAAUUAAUGUCCACAUAUGCAGCACUAUACAGUUCAAUGGCUAAACAUAAUUUAAAUUCAUCUUCUUUACCAAUCAUUCUUGGUUAACUCGCAAAGGAGGUUUGCCGCAUGCAUGCAUCCACCUCUCCAGAUCCAUUAGGUAAUGCAGAAGAAAGACAUUUAAGGACAUUAGUGCUUACCUAAGCAUGUCUCCAGACUGUAAUUUUGGUCCACUCAAUACUGGUGAGAUGCUGAAAUUAUUGCCAUCAGCUUGGAACGAAGGGUGCCCAAGAGGCACUGGUCGAUCUGGAAUCUGUGGAACUUCAAUAUCUCCUUCUAACAUUUUCAGCGCAUCCAGAAUGGUUGGCCUUAGAGCCACCAUUAUAUGAGCACACAAAAUCCCAACCAGCACAAACCUUUCCAUUGUCCCCUUCGGAUUUGAGUUUGAAGAAUCACCACCUCUCAACAAAGAAGCAUCCAAAGCCUGUUCCACUUUUCCAGCUUUCACCAAUGACCAGGCCCAGUCUGUGAUCAACAACGCACGAGGUGACCCUGAAGAAGACAAAUCAAGAGCUUUUCUCCCACACAUUAUCUCCAAAACAACCACCCCAAAGCUAUAAACAUCGCUCUUCUCAGUCAGUUGACCAUAAAGAGCAUAUUCGGGUGCUAAGUACCAAUGAGUUCCAGCCACUCUUGUAGUAAGAUGAGACUGCCCUUCCCUACUUUGCUUUGCCAACCCAAAAUCGGCAACUCUUGCUCUCAUAUCAGCAUCUAACAAUAUAUUUGUCCCCUUGAUAUCUCUAUGAUAUAUUCCAGGCUUGACUCCAUAGUGCAAAUAAGCUAAUCCCCUUGCCACAUCCAAAAUUAUGCUCUUUCUUUGAGGCCAACUUAACAAUUGCUUUUGAAUUUGAUUAACCGAUGAUGGAAAUAAAUGGUCAUCAAGAUUCCCAUUUGACAUGUAAUCACAAACAAGAUACCUCUGAUUGCCUCUCUCAUCAGAAUUUACAUCAUCGUCAAUCACACAGCACCCUCUGAGUGGCACCAAAUUCCUGUGCUUCAAGUUGCUAAUAAUCUCAACCUCAUUGCAAAACUCUGCAUCACCUUUAAAAUCAGAUUCUAUAACCCUUUUAACAGCCACCACAGUCCCAUCAGAUAAAACCCCCUUGUAAACAAAACCAAACCCGCCUCUCCCAAUAAAAUUCUUCUGCGAGAAAUUGUCUGUUGCCUUCUCAAGAUCCUGAAUUUUAAACCAAAUUGACCCUGUAUUCGGCCUCAGUUUAGGCCUAGACCCUUGUUGUUCAUCUAGUCAAAACCAAAGCCUAGAUUCUUUUUCCUUCUCCAUUUCUUAUCAUACCAAAGAUACAAUCCUAACAAACUAGAGAUUACGAAAAUAGCAACACCAGCACAAGUCAAGCCAAAAACAAGAGCAGAAUGAGAAUUGCUAGCUGAACCAACACUUGAAUUCAAUUCCAAACCAAAUAUACAUGAAACAACACCAUCACUUUCAGGACCAAACUCGUUAACAAUACCAGCAGCAUAAAGAACAGCAAAGUAAAAACAAUCUUGAGCAUGAGUUUGAUUACCAUCAGCAUACACCAACAACGACUGUACUGUAAAACCAGCUCUAAGACAAGAAGCACAAGCUGUUUUUACUUUGCUCAUAGAUGGAGUAUCCUUCUAACACCGCUCCUGUAUUACCGGUCAUGAACCCGGGAUUCGGGUCGUGAUAGUUGGUGUGGCCUUUCGUUUUUAUUUUUCUCAUGUUCUGUUCGUAUGCUCGACUGGAAAUGAAGGUGAACUUCUUCCUAUUCUUAGGCUUUGGAAAUCAGCCUCAACCUGUCCUCUUUUGUGUUCUGCUUUGGCUUUAGAUUUUUUCAGGCAUUGGUCUACUAAGCAAUGUUGUUUUCAUAAAAUGGUGAUUUGAAGUAUUUUGUAGGCUAGUCUUGAUAUGGCUACCUCUUGUAGUCUCAGGCCACUUAGAAGAUCUAUUGUCAUUUUCUCUGUAGUGUCAAUAUUAUCAUUGAUCCAAAAACAAAAGGGACAUGUCAAUAUUAUCAAUUUAUCAAGGUUGGACAUUGGCAGCUUGGACUAAUCAUUGAUAUCCAUGUUAAGUAAAAGCACAGACGACCAAAGGAAUGGGAAGUGAUAGAAAUAUAUUGAAAACUUGAAUAAACAGAAAACAAAAACACCAAUGCUGAGUAGCCAUGGUGGGAUUUAUAUGCAUAAAUUUAAUAUUGAUGGAAAGUAGGGAACAUAUGUUGAUAUAUAACAUGUAUAUAGGGUUAAGGUCCCUGCAGCUUGACUGAGAAUUCAUUCAUUUCCUGGAAGAAUGAACCAAAUUUCAUUAAUCAAAGAACCGAGUAGAAGAAACCUGAUCCCAAUAGCAGCAAUUUAUCUAGACUUUUUGGAAUUUUGGGGUAAAUUUGUAUUUUUUCAGCAAUUUAUCUUAGAUACGAGGCAGAGGUUAAAUUCCAAUUCACAGUAGCAGAUUAAAAACACACACUGUACGUUCAUGUCCAUCUUCAAAAUUCUACUAAGAAUAGGUUACCAAGCCUCGACAAAUUUUGGGAGCUUCAGAACAUCAAAGCAUCACAGUGUUGGUAAGUCUGACGAACUUCUAUCACAACUAAUGAUACCCUAAACUCUCUACCUCUUAACUUGAGAAACUCAGGAAUUAAUCUCCACAUACUGAGCACUAUACAGUUCAAUGGUUCAACAUACUUUAAAUUCAUCUUCUUUACCAAUCAUUCUUGGAUAUGCAGGUUAACUCGCGAAAGAGGUCUGCCGCAUGCAUGCACCCACCUCUCUAGAUCCAUUAGGUAAUGCAGAAGAAAGACAUUUAAGGACAUUAGUGCUUACCUAAGCAUGUCACCAGGCUGUAAUUUUGGUCCACUCAAUACUGGUGGACUAUUUUGAUAAAUAACUGGGUUUUUAAGUGAACACCUGUUGAACCACGGUCAAAACCAGUCAAUAGUCCAGAGAAACAGUUUUGGAAAGCCUAAUUCCCGUUCGAUGAUUUCACGAUUCCAUCAAUCACUUAUCAACAAUUUUUAAUUAAAUUUAACAAAAUUAAUUAAGGGGAUUUUUGAGAAAAUCUUUGUCGAUAUACAAUCAUCGAUCUUUUGAUCAAAUUUUGAAGUCUACCUAUGAUCAUCAGCAGCUACGACAAAGUGGAAGAUUCGACUUCACCAUUGACAUAUAUAAAGAUUUUUUAUUACUAGAAACCUGGGUUUCUGUAGAGAUAUUAAAUGAAGUUAUAUUUACCACUUGACAAUUACCUUUUAUGGAAGAGCCUAGGCAUAUAUGGCCAUGGGUUGUAAGACUCUCCACCACAUUUUUACAAGUGUUUUAGGCCCAUUAUUGGUCAUUCGGCUAAGAAACACACAUGAAAUCCUAUAAAAUGUACCCAAAAAAGAGCCUCAAAUAUACACACACACAUUCUCAGACAGCUGAAAGCAGCAUUUGUUGCCAGCACGAGGCUUGAGCAACAGUCCUACAGCCAGCAAAAUUGACUUUUUUUUUCUUCAGGUAAAUCUCUUUGCUUCUCUUCUUAUCGAUGUUAAUGAUAAUCUUCUGUUAUAUUAUAUGUUGUUUCUCUGUCUGCUAAAUUCAGUUACAUCUAUUGUGGUUUGGAAUUUAUAGAUACUAAAGAUGUUAGUUUAUCCUGGCAACUAUAUAUGUUGGAGUUUAGAUCAACAAAGUACUGAGAAAGUGUUUGUGGGUUCGAUUCAAUAAAGAAGAUUUAGAAGGACCAAGUUGGUGAUAUAGGAGGACUGUUACUGCUUUAGGCAAUGGAAAGAAAUGCAUGAUCUAUUGACAUGUGUUUCUAAUAAGAAGAAAAGGAUUAGUGUUUGAUUGAUGCAUGUAUGAUCUAUUGACAUGUGUUCAUAACAGGGGGACUUUUUGUAGCUUCGGUUUCAAAGCUGCUACUAGGGAUCUCCGGUGGAAUUUUGAGCUGGGGUUUGAUGGGGUAUUUGAAGACGGGGAUCUUUUUUCUUGCUGUUUUAGGUCAGUACAGUAGAUUGGUGAUUAUUUCUUAGAGCGAGAUUGGUUGAAGGGCGUGUCAAUAGGUGCAUGGGAGGGAUGGAGCUGGCUCUUGGAAAAGCACCAUUAGUGAUUGGAAAGUCUUUCAUCUGAGGUCGGAGAUGGGUGAAGGAACUUGUUGCGACAAGUGUUUGAUGUGGUGAAGAAGAAAAGGGUAUUGAUAUUUAGUUAUAUUGUGAACGAAAUAGACUGAAAUCUAAUGAAGCUAAUUGAUUUCUUUCGGCCAAUAUGAAGUGUGUUGAUAAUAGGUAUUGAAAAGUUCUAGGUGGUUUUCCGCGCAUCCAAGACCCAAGCAUUUCUCACUUCUGCAUAUUUAAGGAUGCUGAAAACAAUGCCCAUUAGACCUCAUUUUCUCUUUCCAUCUUCCCAUUUUCUUAGUUUUUCUCUUAUUGUAAUCGGUGUUCAAUGAAGUUUUCUAAAAACUUGGUUUCCUUCUUGUUUCCAUUUACCAAUUUCCACCUGAUCUGGCUUAAGCAGUUGUUUCUAAUGAAUUCUCAAUGUGUAGCAGAAAUUACGCUUGCUUGUUGGAUAUUAUACAUAAACACUUAAACUUUGUCCCGCCAUCAUUAUUUGUAAGCUUAUAAACAAUUUCAUAUCAUUUGAAUCGGCGUCCUUCCCCUUAGCUACUGAAUCGUAAUGUAAUUUCAAGUGAAAACAAAUUCCACACCUGCAUUUCUCAGGAGAGAGUAUUUCAGCUGACACAUUUUUCAGUCUGGGACUCUAUUUCUGAAUACUUGCUAUCCCAUCGCUGACUGCUAUGUAUUGUUUGCAUAUUUGUUUAUUGAUUGCAGCCACCAGAUUCAUCCAGGAGAAGCCACCAUUUCCAACCAGUGCUUUCGUGAAUGGAAUCAGACAUGGUUAUCCAUAAUGGAGGAUGUCAUUGCAGGAGAGUAAGGUGGCGAGUCCAAGCACCAAGUAGUGUUGUCGCUUGGAACUGCAACUGUUCUGAUUGUUCCAUGAGGGGAAACAUUCAGUUCAUUGUCCCUUCUGAAAAGUUUGAGCUUCUUGGAGAUUCCAAAGAAUUUCUUACAACCUACACUUUUGGCACACAUACAGCAAAGCACACAUUCUGUAAGUUCUGUGGCAUAACUUCGUUUUACGUUCCACGAUCACAUCCAGAUGGGGUUUCAAUUACUUGCAGAUGUGUUGACCCUGGGACUCUCACUCAUGUUGAGAUUAAGC